AUAUGAUUGGAUCACUAUCAGACAUUGAUUAGCUGGAGGUUUUUAAAUCAACAGUUUGGGGUGUUAGAAAACUGAGUUUUCAAGAAUAUUACACAAACUCUUGGUCUUCAUGGUCGUAGAACAGGAACCCCUCGUCCGCUUCGUUGCAGGAUCGAUGCACAUUCCUGUCGAAAUGUGUCAUUUGUGGAUGAGGUGAUCAUAUUGGCGAUGCACUCAGCGACAUCAGUCGCAAUACGCCGCAUCUGAACAAAUCCGAAGGAAACAUUAGUAUUUGAACACAAAUUCCAUUAGUAAACAAGACAGCAAUUUGAACGUAAAUUGACAUGGUACUUAAAGCGCAUUUCACCUAUACUCGUCCUGAGAAAAAUUCUUUAGCGUCUACAACUGAAAUGACUCGAAGGUGUUGAAACAGCAAACCAGGACCAAGUCUUGGAAUUUCAUUCAUUUUUCAGAGGAAUAUACGCAUAUUAAAUAUUCUAAGUUGUAUUCUAUUCUAAUCUCUUUGUCUGCCUGUCAAAAAGACCAUGAACAGAAUCACGAAGAUGUACUUGCGUUGCAUUUUCACUCUGAAAAUGCUCAGGGUAUUUGGCUUUCAGUUCAUUCAUGCAGGCCUCCGCUGCAACCUUCACCAUUCUUCCCCCGACUGGUGAGUGUGAUCUUCGUAAAAUUCGUAGCUCAGAGUCAAGGAAAACUAACUAUUACAGAAAAUAGUAAUAGAUAACAGAUGCAAACCAGGAUAAGGUCCAAUAACCGUUAUUACGAUUAUAAGGUUGUGCUCAAGAUUUCUAAGCAAUAAAAAUCAUUAAUAAGAUUAUAACAUUCACAACA